GGGACCUUAGCUCAGCCUGGGAGAGCACACGGCUGAAGCACCACCACCAGUCUGUAACUGGUGAGAAUUUAGUAACCGUGGUGUCCAGGGUUCAAAUCCCUGAGGUCCCA
rnacentral:tRNA from 1 species